GUGAACGCUGGCGGUAGGCCUAACACAUGCAAGUCGAACGGCAGCACAGUAAGAGCUUGCUCUUACGGGUGGCGAGUGGCGGACGGGUGAGGAAUACAUCGGAAUCUACUUUUUCGUGGGGGAUAACGUAGGGAAACUUACGCUAAUACCGCAUACGACCUACGGGUGAAAGCAGGGGAUCUUCGGACCUUGCGCGAUUGAAUGAGCCGAUGUCGGAUUAGCUAGUUGGCGGGGUAAAGGCCCACCAAGGCGACGAUCCGUAGCUGGUCUGAGAAGAUGAUCAGCCACACUGGAACUGAGACACGGUCCAGACUCCUACGGGAGGCAGCAGUGGGGAAUAUUGGACAAUGGGCGCAAGCCUGAUCCAGCCAUACCGCGUGGGUGAAGAAGGCCUUCGGGUUGUAAAGUCCUUUUGUUGGGAAAGAAAAGCAGCAGGUUAAUACCCCGCUGUUCCGACGGUACCCAAAGAAUAAGCACCGGCUAACUUCGUG
rnacentral:rRNA from 1 species